rnacentral:rRNA from 1 species
CCUACGGGAGGCAGCAGUGAGGAAUAUUGGUCAAUGGACGAGAGUCUGAACCAGCCAAGUAGCGUGAAGGAUGACUGCCCUAUGGGUUGUAAACUUCUUUUAUAUGGGAAUAAAAUGUUCCACGUGUGGGAUUUUGUAUGUACCAUAUGAAUAAGGAUCGGCUAACUCCGUGCCAGCAGCCGCGGUAAUACGGAGGAUCCGAGCGUUAUCCGGAUUUAUUGGGUUGAAAGGGAGAGUAGGUGGAUUGUUAAGUCAGUUGUGAAAGUUUGCGGCUCAACCGGAAAAUUGCAGUUGAAACUGGCAGUCUUGAGUACAGUAGAGGUGGGCGGAAUUCGUGGUGUAGCGGUGAAAUGCUUAGAGAUCACGAAGAACUCCGAUGGCGAAGGCAGCUCACUGGACUGCAACUGACACUGAGGCUCGAAAGUGUGGGUAGCAAACAGGAUUAGAUACCCCUGUAGUC